GAUGAACGCUGGCGGCGUGCUUAACACAUGCAAGUCGAACGGAGAAAGGGUAGCUUGCUAUCUUUCUUAGUGGCGGACGGGUGAGUAACGCGUGGGUAACCUGCCCUUUGCAGGGGGAUAACAGUGAGAAAUCACUGCUAAUACCGCAUACCAACUUCUUUCGCAUGAAGGAAGUUUGAAAGAUUUAUCGGCAAAGGAUGGACCCGCGUUGGAUUAGCUAGUUGGUGAGAUAACAGCCCACCAAGGCAACGAUCCAUAGCCGGCCUGAGAGGGUGAACGGCCACACUGGGACUGAGACACGGCCCAGACUCCUACGGGAGGCAGCAGUGGGGAAUAUUGCACAAUGGGCGAAAGCCUGAUGCAGCGACGCCGCGUGAAGGAUGAAGGUCUUCGGAUUGUAAACUUCUAUCAGCAGGGAAGAAAGGGCCUAUGGCCUAUGACGGUACCUGACUAAGAAGCCCCGGCUAACUACGUG
rnacentral:rRNA from 1 species